rnacentral:rRNA from 1 species
AAUGAACGCUGGCGGCAGGCCUAAAACAUGCAAGUCGAACGAACCCUUCGGGGUUAGUGGCGGACGGGUGAGUAACACGUGGGAACGUGCCUUUAGGUUCGGAAUAACUCAGGGAAACUUGUGCUAAUACCGAAUGUGCCCUUCGGGGGAAAGAUUUAUCGCCUUUAGAGCGGCCCGCGUCUGAUUAGCUAGUUGGUGAGGUAAUGGCUCACCAAGGCUACGAUCAGUAGCUGGUCUGAGAGGAUGACCAGCCACAUUGGGACUGAGACACGGCCCAAACUCCUACGGGAGGCAGCAGUGGGGAAUCUUGCGCAAUGGGCGAAAGCCUGACGCAGCCAUGCCGCGUGGAUGAUGAAGGUCUUAGGAUUGUAAAAUCCUUUCACCGGUGAAGAUAAUGACUGUAGCCGGAGAAGAAGCCCCGGCUAACUUCGUGCCAGCCGCCGCCGUAAGAC